AUUGAACGCUGGCGGCAGGCCUAACACAUGCAAGUCGAGCGGAUGAAGGGAGCUUGCUCCUGGAUUCAGCGGCGGACGGGUGAGUAAUGCCUAGGAAUCUGCCUGGUAGUGGGGGAUAACGUCCGGAAACGGGCGCUAAUACCGCAUACGUCCUGAGGGAGAAAGUGGGGGAUCUUCGGACCUCACGCUAUCAGAUGGGCCUAGGUCGGAUUAGCUAGUUGGUGGGGUAAAGGCCUACCAAGGCGACGAUCCGUAACUGGUCUGAGAGGAUGAUCAGUCACACUGGAACUGAGACACGGUCCAGACUCCUACGGGAGGCAGCAGUGGGGAAUAUUGGACAAAGGGCGAAAGCCUGAUCCAGCCAUGCCGCGUGUGUGAAGAAGGUCUUCGGAUUGUAAAGCACUUUAAGUUGGGAGGAAGGGCAGUAAGUUAAUACCUUGCUGUUUUGACGUUACCAACAGAAUAAGCACCGGCUAACUUCGUG
rnacentral:rRNA from 1 species